rnacentral:piRNA from 1 species
UAUCCAUAAUUGCAUGGUAUGCUAGCAGUU